CAGCCGCCACGGGAAUACGGAGGGUGCAAGCGUUAAUCGGAAUUACUGGGCGUAAAGCGCACGCAGGCGGUCUGACAAGUCAGAUGUGAAAUCCCCGGGCUUAACCUGGGAACUGCAUUUGAAACUGUCAGGCUGGAGUCUUGUAGAGGGGGGUGGAAUUCCAGGUGUAGCGGUGAAAUGCGUAGAGAUCUGGAGGAAUACCGGUGGCGAAGGCGGCCCCUGGACAAAGACUGACGCUCAGGUGCGAAAGCGUGGGGAGCAAACAGGAUUAGAUACCCCUGUAGUCCCUGUCUCUUAUCAC
rnacentral:rRNA from 1 species